AACUCUAACCAAUCUUAAUCAUAUUAGAAAUUGAUUAGAUCUAAAUAGAUAAAAAUCUAAAUCUGAUUAGGAGCCCAAACUAUUUAGAAUAGAUGUCACCUAAUUAGAGGAGGAGUCCUAGUCUUUUUGGACUCUCUCUUGAUGUUUGAGUCAAACUUAAUUUAAUCCUAAUCCAAUUAAGAUAUGAUGCACCCAUAAAAAUAAGAAUUCCUAAUCCAAAUAGGAAUUUAAACAUUCUUAAUUAGAUCUUAGUCUAAUUAAGAAUUAAGUCAAAUCUAAAUUCUAAUUCAACAAGGAAUUAUUCUUCCAUGCAAUUUGAUUAUCUCGUAACCCAAUUAGGCU
rnacentral:lncRNA from 1 species